rnacentral:sRNA from 1 species
AUGCUUUUACAAUGGAUACAGAAAGGUCAGCAUUUAUUGAGCAUUUAACACGUGACAUAUGCGGUGUUUCAGUCCACUUGUGCAAGUAAACUAAAAACCCUUGAGUACUGAGAUUCCUAGAUUAGAUGGAAUUUGCUCAAGGUAGCAGCAGGUUAGAGGUUGCCAGAGCAGCUGGCCUCCAGUCAGCUCCUGAGGCCAGUAUGCUAAGAAGGCAAGGAAUUUAUUGGAAUGACUUAUGGUCUGCAGUCCAACUAGCCCAACAAUGGUCAGCGGUGAAUGGGAAGUUCAAGAAUCUAGUAGUUGCUCAGUCCCAUGAGGCUGAGUGCCUCAGCUGGUCUUCUGUAUAAGAAGUAUUUCCAACAGAGGUGCUAGGAGAUAAGUGCCACCAGUUGUCCCUCUACUGGUGUGGGGCAAGUGGACUGCGCCACCAGACAAAAGAACUGGUAAGGUUGAGUGAGCGGCUAACCCUGUGAACUCAGAAUUGAGUAAGGUAGGUAGGCGUGGGACCAGCUCUCUGCCAAACUACCUUCUCUGGACCAUGUAACCACAAUAACCGCUGAGAGGGCCAUGACACUCAGUCACGUAGAGGAAAUGCCUGAAGUCCAUCCCCAUGCUCAUAGGGCAUCACUAGCAUUUCAGAAUGAGCCAAUGGGAAAUGUCUACCCCUGGAUCCUACCCUCUUCUGUAACUUUACUUUUUUAAGGCUUAUUUUUAAUGAUGGUUCUUAAACAUUUUGACCUCCCUUUCAGUCCACCAUCCACCAGAGGUAGUGGAAAAGAAAGGAUAUGGGGUGUGUUUGGGGGUGGGUGGACCUGUUUAGAAAGGGUUCUUUGGAGCAACUCCCAUCGCCUAUCUGCAAUGUCUGGAAAUUGAUAGUUCUGUUCACAGGUCAAUAGUGGCAGCUCGAUCUACUUGCAAACAUUUUACCAAUAUACAGCAGUCCAGUUUGGUAGAGUGGGGACAGCAAAUGAGAAUCAGCAGCAGUGGCACUUCCCAGCAGAGACAGCCUCAGCACAAGACAGCUAGAGAGUCCAUGGAGGAACACCAGAAAAAGUUCUUGGCUGUGCCUCUCUAGCAAAGUGAAGAUCAGCAAAGACUCAAGACCAACAAGCCUUGCACAGCGAGCUCUGUAAGCAAGCCAAGCUUAGCCUCCAUCACUGUCCAUUGAGUCCUUUGUAUACUGUCUCCAAACAUCACGUGUCCUCCACAGGUCUUGG